rnacentral:rRNA from 1 species
AUACGGAGGAUGCAAGCGUUAUCCGGAUUUAUUGGGUUUAAAGGGUGCGUAGGCGGUUUGCUAAGCGGGAGGUGAAAUGCCGGCGCUCAACGUCGGAAGUGCCUCCCGAACUGGUGGACUUGAAUGACUCUGCCGUGGGCGGAAUGUGUAGUGUAGCGGUGAAAUGCUUAGAGAUUACACAGAACACCGAUUGCGAAGGCAUCUCACGAAGGGUUGAUUGACGCUGAGGCACGAAAGCGUGGGGAUCAAACAGGAUUAGAUACCCUGGUAGUCCACGCAGUAAACGAUGAUGGCUAACCGCUGGGCUUAUCAGUUCAGUGGCCAAGCGAAAGCGAUAAGCCAUCCACCUGGGGAGUACGACCGCAAGGUUGAAACUCAAAGGAAUGGACGGGG